CUACGGGGUGCACCAGUGGGGAAUAUUGCACAAUGGAGGAAACUCUGAUGCAGCAACGCCGCGUGGAGGAUGACACUUUUCGGAGCGUAAACUCCUUUUAUAUAGGAAGAAGAUGACGGUACUAUAUGAAUAAGCGCCGGCUAACUCCGUGCCAGCAGCCGCGGUAAUACGGAGGGCGCAAGCGUUACUCGGAAUCACUGGGCGUAAAGCGCGUGUAGGCGGAUUAAAAAGUCAGAAGUGAAAUCCUAUAGCUUAACUAUAGAACUGCUUCUGAAACUCUUAAUCUAGAAUAUGGGAGAGGUAGAUGGAGUUUCUGGUGUAGGGGUAAAAUCCGUAGAGAUCAGAAGGAAUACCGAUUGCGAAGGCGAUCUACUAGAACAUUAUUGACGCUGAGACGCGAAAGCGUGGGGAGCAAACAGGAUUAGAUACCCUAGUAGUC
rnacentral:rRNA from 1 species